UGGAAAUUGACAACUUUUAAUCAGCUGACAGACUACUGCCAGCAUCUGCUCGUGUCAGUACACCUAUUGGCUGUUAUUACCUGCUAAAAAUAUAUUUGCCAAAACUGAUACACAAAUUAUUUGACUGGCAGUCUUGUCGUAAACUCAUUAAUAUUUUUUCUCUUAACAGGCUUAGAUUUAUACAAACUUUUAAGGGGUUAGAGUCCAUUAUAUCUGGCCUUGGAAUCUAUUUCUUGUGGGAUUUUACCAAUUUUGGUAGCUUUUUUCCUUGCAAAUGGAGAAGGGGACAAACUUGUUUAUGUGAUAACUUAUCGAAAAGAACUUCUUUAUGUGACUUUUGCUUCUUUCUGCUUUCUUUAUAAAUCUGGUGUCCAUUUGGUGUCUGCACCAAAUUAAUUAAAAUUGUGAUGCCUUUUGUUUGAAGAUCAUCUGCCUCGGUCAGGGUGCUCAAGCAUCUCUUUUUGGAUCAAUAUAUUCUACUUUAAGUGGGCAUCAGAUUAUGCCCAACAGGUUGAGUCCUCUUGGAUGAAGUACUGUGAUUGAUGUUCAGUUGUAUGUAGGGUAAAUCUUGAACUAUGCACGACUGAUCAUAAAUCUAGUGUUUUAACAGAUUAAAUAGAAAGUUAGCUUGUUCUAUUUAGUUGUACUAAUUUGAAGGACAUAACAUUGUGCCCUCUAUGUCCUGUAUUAAUCAAAAUCGACCUUUCUCUGUAUUUUUUUCUUCUUUUAAUAAAUAGGGUAAUUUUAUUAAGAAAGCACCAACAAGCAACAAGGUAACUCUUAGGGUGGAGGGAGAAGAAGCCUUUUGGAGAGGGGUGAUAGCGGAUAAAUAUGGAGAAAUGGAAGGGGAUGGUGAACAAAUGGGAUCACUAUGCCUUUCGGGUGUGGUGUGUGGAGGGAUAUAAUGAAGGGGUGGGAUGCCUUUAAUGAUAACAUUGGUUUUAAGGUUGGGGAUGGUAUUAGAGUUAGUUUUUUGGGGGCAAAAGUGGUGUGGAGGUAUGGUGCUUAAGGAUGAAUUCCCGGUAAUGUAUAGAGUCUCUUGCCAAAGGGAUUUGUCUGUUCAGCAAGUUAGAGGGACACAAGGGGAUGGGACUUUUUGGGAUUUGAGGUUUAGGAGGAAUUUCAGGAUAGGGAGGUGACGGAGCUUCAGAAAAUGCUAGUUUUACUUAAAAAGCAUUGCUAGCCGGUCGACCGAAGCUUUGAGUUGGGAGUUGGGGGAUAACGAAGUGUUCUUUAUUAAGUCCUACGAGAAACUCCUGGUUAGGGCGGAGGAUAGUUUCCAUAUGCUUUGGCCUGGAUACCUAAGGUGCCAAGUAAGGUGUGCUUCUUCACGCGGUUGGCUACUACAGGGUGAUUUUGACAGCGGAGAAUCUUAGGAAACGAAAGGUUGUCUGCUUGAGCUGGUGUUUCCUUUGCAAGGAGGCAGGUGAGGACGUGGAUCACAUUAUGUUACAUUGCAAUUAGCCUCGAGGUUGUGGGGGAUAUAUUCAGAUGGUUUGGUAUUUCUUGGGUAAUGCUAAGAUCUGUGAAGGAGUUAGCUAGGAGAAGAAGGCACAAGGUGUAGUGUGUUAUUUCUAGUUUCCUUUUGGUGUACUUAUUAUGAGGUCCCUAUUUGUAUAGAGGAUUGGAUCUCUUUUGUUGAGAAUCAUAUUUUGGUGUAGAUUCUCUUCUUUUGGUAUACGGCUUGUAUACGGGACUUCCCCAUUUUUUAAUAAAAUACUUACCUUAUUAAAAAAUGUGGGUCAUUUGGAAA